rnacentral:rRNA from 1 species
UACGGAGGGUGCAAGCGUUAUCCGGAUUCACUGGGUUUAAAGGGUGCGUAGGUGGGCAGGUAAGUCAGUGGUGAAAUCUCUGGGCUUAACCCGGAAACUGCCGUUGAUACUAUCUGUCUUGAAUGUAGUGGAGGUGAGCGGAAUAUGUCAUGUAGCGGUGAAAUGCUUAGAUAUGACAUAGAACAUCGAUUGCGAAGCAGCUCGCUACAUCU